GGUGAGUUGGCAGAGCGGUAAUGCAGCGGCUUGCUAAGCCGUGACGGGUUUCCGUCCACAGGUUCGAAUCCUGUACUCACCGCCA
rnacentral:tRNA from 1 species